AUGAAAGAAGAGAAAGAAAUCUUCUUUGAAUGCCUGCUCAGUAUGAAGGUCCCGACUGGCUUCUCGUCGAAUAUAAAGGGAAUAAUAAAUAUGCCAGAGAAAAAGUUUCAUAACCUAAAGUCUCAUGACUGCCACGUGAUUAUGACGCAACUGCUUCCGGUUGCAUUGAGGGGGCUUCUACCGGAAAGCGUCCGAUUAGCCAUUGUGAAGCUAUGUGCAUUCCUCAAUGCAAUAUCUCAGAAGGUGAUCGAUCCAGAAAUCGUACCAAGGCUAAGGAGUGAUGUGGCGCAAUGUCUUGUCAGUUUCGAGCUGGUGUAA
rnacentral:rRNA from 1 species